rnacentral:misc_RNA from 1 species
GAUGAAGAACGCAGCGAAAUGCGAUAAGUAAUGUGAAUUGCAGAAUUCAGUGAAUUAUCGAAUCUUUGAACGCACAUUGCGCCCCUUGGUAUUCCGAGGGGCAUGCCUGUUCGAGCGUCAUUAUAACCCCUCAAGCUCAGCUUGGUGUUGGGGCCUGCUGCACUGGCAGCCCUUAAAAUCAGUGGCGGCGCCAUCUGGCUCUAAGCGUAGUAAUUCUUCUCGCUAUGGAGUCCUGGUGGAUGCUUGCCAUCAACCCCCAAUUUUUCUAUGGUUGACCUCGGAUCAGGUAGGGAUACCCGCUGAACUUAAGCAUAUCAAUAAGCGGAGGA